CUUACGGGAGGCAGCAGUGGGGAAUAUUGGGCAAUGGGCGCAAGCCUGACCCAGCAACGCCGCGUGAAGGAAGAAGGCUUUCGGGUUGUAAACUUCUUUUAUGAGGGACGAAACAAAUGACGGUACCUCAUGAAUAAGCCACGGCUAACUACGUGCCAGCAGCCGCGGUAAUACGUAGGUGGCAAGCGUUAUCCGGAUUUACUGGGUGUAAAGGGCGUGUAGGCGGGACUGCAAGUCAGAUGUGAAAAUUAUGGGCUCAACCCAUAACCUGCAUUUGAAACUGUAGUUCUUGAGUGAUGGAGAGG
rnacentral:rRNA from 1 species